ensembl:lncRNA
CGAGGGCUAAGCGCACAGUUGGGCGCAGGAGAGGAUGCUCGUGGGACCGUGGCGCGGGGUCGACGUUGACCCCUUCAGCCUCGCGCCCCGCGCUGUCCCUGCCUGGCGGAGGCCGGACUGUGGGGGUAGCGUCUGAAGCCUGCGCGACUGCGGCCUGUGUUUAUCAAUCUGGGACACACGGCUCUGAUGGAAGAGAGAACCAAACUUACAUCAGACACUUGACCCCUUGGCCCGGAGCCAAACCAGAUCAGCCGGGCGAGCCUCCCCCAGGGCAGGCUUGUACAUGACAGAUGACACUUGCCAGAGAAGUCAGGCCAUGCCACCCCCUGGGAGCCUGAAAGACACAAAAUCAAGGCAGUUCCAUCAAGCACUUCGAGAGUGGAGCAGGUGGCAAGCCUUUCAAUCACCUUUACUGAGGUGAGGUGAGAAAAAAAGUUAGGGGUAGCUGGCACAUGUUCCUUUUCCCAGGAGAGAAAGUAAGUGUUCACUGAGCCAGCUGGGUAGAGUAAGGGUGGCUUGCUUGACUUCCCAGCCCAAGACGCAGAAGAUGCAGGGUUUCAUGCAUGCUAGGCACACGCUGUGCCACUGAGCUACACUUCCACCCUUUUCCUUCUUUCUGCCCCCACCUGUUUCUUUUUGACAGAAGAAAUACUUCAGAAAUUGGAACCGGAAAGGGCCAGAUUCCAAGCCCUGUACCCCUGCUCCCAUUUUACAGUGUGAGCCAGGAAUGACUUCUCUAUAAGAAGCCAUCCAGGGACCCUUAAGGAUUGACUUGGCACUAACCUGCUGAUGAAGAUCUUGGAGGGCUGAAGACAUUGCUCAAAGUCAGAAAUAUAUACACAACACUCACUUUUGAUUGCACAGGCCCUGCCCUGUGUUGUUGUCAGGAUAUCUGGAGCCAUUUAGUUCUGUAACACAACCUGUCUCAUCAAUUUGACUUCAGUGUUUAAAAGAGAAAUUACUGGGCCAGGGAUUUAGCUCAGUGGUUCUGGCG